GCCCAGGUGGCGGAAUUGGUAGACGCGCUAGCUUCAGGUGCUAGUGCCCCUAUGGGCGUGGAGGUUCGAGUCCUCUCCUGGGCACCA
rnacentral:tRNA from 1 species